GUAACAGCUACUCUUAGCGCGCCUGGCACAGGCCCACGGCACGUUGCUCUCUCCCUUCCCUGUUCCUGCUCCCCUCUCCUCCGGCCCCUCCUCAGUCUCUUACGGAGGAGGCCUCGAGGCAAGUCUUGCCAAAAACCUCAUUUACCAGGGCGGUCCCUGGUUCCUGUUUGCCUAAAACCAAAGCCGCAGGCUCUUCAAAAGAACCUAGCAAACCCAGAUAGAAAGCCGGAGACGGUGAAAAAAAUAUCAGAAGUGGUGGAACACGUGUUUGUGUCUCCGUUCCGUUCUGAGAGCGUUUAGCAGAGAACUGUAGACUGACCCAGCCAGAAGAAACUUCUAAUGUUUUUUAGUCCAGCUGGAUUUUAAUCACUUACAAUAAUGACAUAAUACGACACCAAACAAGGCCCUCGGCUGUGCUGUGUGAAUGAAAAAGAAACUAAAACAGUGGGAUCCCUCCCCUUAAGAUCCAUGACCUGGUGUUGGGUGACAGGAAUGUUCUUCUGUGUAGUAUGUCUAUGUAAUUCUUGUUUUUGAAAUCAUGAUUUUGAUGAUGGUGAUGAGCCCAAAGAAACUCUUUUUCUCUCUCUGCCAUGUGAGGACAGAGCGAGAAGGCAGCCGUCUAUAAGCCAGGAAGAGAGCCCUCACCAGAAACCAACCCUGCCAGACCUUGAUCUUGGACUUCCAGGCUCCAGAAUGAUAGGAAAAUAAAGGUCUGUUAUUUAAGCUA
rnacentral:lncRNA from 1 species